CCUCCUUUUCUAAGGAGCACCGAUACCGGAUUCCCCCGUGCCUUACUGGAUGUGAGGGUUGUUCACGGUUGGGAGAGUGCGCCGGGGCCUGUAGUGGGUUUCCCGGUGGGUGCGCAACAACAAACGUUUUCGCGUGAAGUGACGUCGUGAAGUGACGUUGAGUGGCUUUGCGUGGAGGGAUUGCCAGACACACUGUUGGGUCCUGAGACAGCAGACCCGUGGGUUUUGCCUGGCUGUGAUGGCUGGGUGGGGCCGGCCCUCUUGUUGGGGGUGGGUUGUUGUCGCCUCAUCUUGGUGGUGGGGUGUGGUGUUUGAGUUGUGGAUAGUGGUUGCGAGCAUC
rnacentral:misc_RNA from 1 species